rnacentral:rRNA from 1 species
AGUUCGGAUUGUAGGCUGAAACUCGCCUACAUGAGGCUGGAAUUGCUAGUAAUCACAGGUCAGCAUACUGUGGUGAAUACGUUCCCGGGCCUUGUACACACCGCCCGUCACACCAUGAGAGUUGAGAAUACCCGAAGCCCAUGUCAAAGUGGUCGAAGGUAGGCUUGAUGAUUGGGGUGAAGUCGUAACAAGGUAGC